GCCGGGUGUGGUGGCGUGCGCCUGUAGUCCCAGCAACUCGGGAGGCUGAGACAGGAGAAUUGCUUGAGUCCGGGAGGCGGAGCUUGCAGUGAGCCGAGAUUGUGCCACUGCACUCCAGCCUGGGCGACAGAGCAAGACUCUGUCUCAA
rnacentral:SRP_RNA from 1 species